GAUGAACGCUGGCGGCGUGCCUAAUACAUGCAAGUCGAGCGAACAGACGAGAAGCUUGCUCCUCUGACGUUAGCGGCGGACGGGUGAGUAACACGUGGAUAACCUACCUAUAAGACUUGGAUAACUUCGGGAAACCGGAGCUAAUACCGGAUAAUAUAUUGAACCGCAUGGUUCAAUAGUGAAAGACGGUUUUGCUGUCACUUAUAGAUGGAUCCGCGCCGCAUUAGCUAGUUGGUAAGGUAACGGCUUACCAAGGCAACGAUGCGUAGCCGACCUGAGAGGGUGAUCGGCCACACUGGAACUGAGACACGGUCCAGACUCCUACGGGAGGCAGCAGUAGGGAAUCUUCCGCAAUGGGCGAAAGCCUGACGGAGCAACGCCGCGUGAGUGAUGAAGGUAUUCGGAUCGUAAAACUCUGUUAUUAGGGAAGAACAAAUGUGUAAGUAACUAUGCACGUCUUGACGGUACCUAAUCAGAAAGCCACGGCUAACUACGUG
rnacentral:rRNA from 1 species